GCGGCACCGCAGGGUAGCUAUGUUCGGAACAGAUAACCGCUGAAAGCAUCUAAGCGGGAAGCUGGUCGCAAGAUAAGAUAUCCCCAUGAGUUCAGUUCUAGACGAGGACAUUGAUAGGCCGUAUGUGUAAGCCCUGUGAGGGGUUCAGCUUAACGGUACUAAUCGAACCAUUGACUUUUUAUC
rnacentral:rRNA from 1 species